rnacentral:rRNA from 1 species
GACAGAGGUGCCGAGCGUUAGGCGGAAUCACUGGGCUUACAGCGUGUGUAGGCGGGCUGGCAAGUACCUUGUGAAAUCCCACGGCUCAACCGUGGAACGGCUGGGUAUACUGCCUGUCUUGAGCCAACUAGGGGCGAGCGGAACAGACGGUGGAGCGGUGAAAUGCGUAGAGAUCGGAAAGAACACCAACGGCGAAAGCACUCUGCUGGGCCGACACUGACACUGAGAGACGAAAGCUAGGGGAGCGAAUGGG